GGGCAUAGUUACAGGUAGGCUCAUUUAAUCUUGCUUGCUUUUAAUAAUUAAUUAUCCACCCAAUAAUGGAGAACGCAAUUGCUGUAUCGUUGUCCAAGGAAGGAAAUUCCCCAUCUCGAAUUGUAGAAUCUCACGAAACCAAGUGCAUGGCGGCAUUUUUCGCUACAGAAGAAGGUAGCGCACUUCUUUAUGAAGCUGUCAAGAAAUUCAUGUCGACGUCAGAUGGUAUCAUGAUCGUAGAAAACGCUAUCGUGGCAGCAGUAGGAAGACGUGACUGGAAGAAUAACAAUCGCAGUGUUCUCGAAAGUCGUCGUCGUCGAUCCAAAUGAAGUAACUCAUGCUGGAGUUCGCAAAGUUAUAGGGUUCCCUCUAAAUCUGACUCCUGAGAAAUUAUUUCUUUAAAACAGAUCUGAUUUUAAUUCUUUUAAUAGUAUUUAUGCCUCUACAAAAAAAAAAGAUGUUUUAUAAUGAAUUUUAUAUAUGUAUUGACCAAACUAAAGGUUCAUCA